AUAUAUAUUUUUAAAAUUAUUGAAUACUUUCUGACUGUUUCCAAACUCAACCUGGCAACUUUUUUUCUCUCCAUAUUAGUGCCUGUGACUCCGAAAGUAAGAGCCAAACCAGAACCAACCAAAAAAGAAGCUGAGGUUCUUAAGGAGAAGAAAGCUGAGCCAGUGACUCCCAAAAAUGGUAUCCUUUUAGCUUUUCACCUCUUUCACAGGUCUUAUUUUUCUUUUAAUUAUCUAACAUGUAGAACAGCAUUAUUUCAGUGGUUUCUCACCUUUUUAUAAAUAUGGUUCAAUUUAAUUGGGGCAUUUAUUAUUCUAGCAGCUGUUACCAAGACAAAACCAUCACCUGCUAAAAAGAAAAAAGGUAUACAGCAGAAUCGUGUGUUGUUUUGCUGUAGAAACAUCACACGCAGCACUGUGCUGAUAUUAAUCCUGUCACGUUCAACCCACGUCACAUCACGACUGAUUCGCUGAGAUGUAGCUGCUUCGCUGCCACAUGAUGAUGACCCAACUAAAAAUGCUCAAAGUACCACAAUCUGCUUUUAUUUUGCUUAAAUUAUUAUGUUACCGCUGAGUUUUGUCCUUUUCAAGUUGGUCAUUUUCAUGUUUCAGCAUUUCUCAAUACGUGCUUAAUCAAUAGACUGAGUUUAUGCACUGUGUUGCUUUAGUUUUGCAAUUAGCUAUCAGUGAUGCCAGUCAUCACUCUUCUCACAUGACCUCUUUUCUUCCCUUUCUCUUUAGAAGCUGAGGCUAAGCCAGUUCCUGUUAAGAAAGGUGAAUUGCUUACAAUCCAUGGUUAUUAUUUAUUAAAGUGAAUUAUUAUUAACACUUUCAUGCGUUUUUUUUAUCAGAGCCAGAGGUUACAAAGGAAAAACUCAAACCAGCUCUUGAAAAGAAAGGUAUGUGUUCGAUUUAAACUCUUUAAAUAGUCACAAGCUAGGCAAUCUAUACUUUUUUAUUCAUAUUUUAUUUUUGUUAUAGAUCAUAUACACUCUAUACUGUUUAAGUAGUUCUUUAAAAAAAGUUGAAAAUGUUAUUUUUCUCGGUUUUACAGCUCCUAAAGCAGAGGUCGAAGCAAAGAAGGAAAAGAUUAAAUCCCUUCUAAAGACAAAAGGUAGACUGCCAUUGCCAUCUGCAUGUAGAUACUUCUUUAUUAUGUAGUGCCAUUAGAAAACUAUCACAAAAUAAUGAUAAUGGUGUAGAUAAACACUGAUUAUCUUACUUAUCAUACCUUUUUGUUUUACUACUCAGAGCCAAAAGUACCAGAGGUAAAAGCAAAACCAGCUGUAAAAAAAGGUAACUUAUAAAAAUCUUUGGUGUGAUUGGCAACAAGUAGAAUCAUUGUUUUGUUCUUUAAUGACUGACCUAGGAAUCCUCUAUAGAAGAAAUCUACCAGUGGAUUUGAUUUAAUAAUGCGCAAAAACAGAUCGUUGGCUCUAUCGCAGCCACAUGGACCCCCAAGUACUGCGCAAAGUCAGAAGCAAACCAAAGAAAACUAGUUUCUACUAAGGAAAAGUAAUGUUUUGUAUAAUUGAAAUAACAUAAUAUGCCUAUUUCAUAUCUGAAAAGAUGACAAAGCAAACUAAAACUGUGUUCUGGCUGUUUGUAGAAUGGACUAAAUCAGUAAUUUAAAAAAAUAAUUGAAGCGUUCACACUGCAAAGUGGUUUGAGCUGCUAUAAGUAUUGUUUAAAAGUAAGCUAAUUGUGGCUUCUGCUGUAAAAUUCUUCAGGUUGAUUGCUAAAGUCUGACCAAAGUCUUUUUUUUACAGAACUGGAAACUCCUAAAGAAAAGGCCAGGCCUGCUGCAGCAAAGAAAGGUACAGUGCAAAGUUUUACACUUUAUUUAUGACACAAAUUUGAGAUUUUCUGAUGUCUUAAAUACACUGAAAUUCUUCCACCAACUGUAUGUUUUAUUGAUUGCAUUUUUGUCCCUGAUGGCACAGCCAUGUUGAGGGAAAAGACCAAACCAGUCCAUGUGAAGAAAGGUACAUGUGGUGCUUCAGUGCAGGCAGCACUUCAUACUUCAUGUAACCAUCAGUGGUAAUCUGAUUACAACAUGAAGGCCCCUCUAAAUGUAGAGAAGUAACUCAGAGGGGAAACAGCUAUUUUGCUUAUAAAAAUUAAGUAACCUUUAAACACGCUGCUGCUGAUAGUUGAGAAGAUUUUCCUGCUGGGUGUGAAAUAGUCAACCAGACAUCUAAGUAAAGAGCUUCAAAUGAAAAUCCAAGAUUAGUAAAGAUUAUAGGCAACUGAAUGGCCAGCAAGAAAAUGAUCUCUAAGUUAGUUAAUCUGCCAUCGAUAAAAUAUUUAUAGUUUGAUGUAAAAAAAAAAGAAAAAAAAAGCUUCACAGUAAUUUUUAUACAAAGCAUGCAUGCAGGUAAUUAGCACAAAUCUGAUAAUGUACUGCCACUUUCUAAUAAGGCCUCAUACAUAAAGGAUUUAUAGGUUGUAACUACUAACUUAAUCAUGAAUAAAUAUUUUCUAAAUAAUUUCUUUAAAAAUGAUUUAUGAGCUAUGCUUGGAGAACACAGAGUCUGAGAAAUCUGGCUGUUGAUGUAUUUAGUUAUCAUUCUGUUAUGAAAGUUGACGAAACUUUAUCAAAUCUGUAGUUAAACUAUGAAACCAAGCAGAUUUUCAUCUAUAUCACAUGUGGCUCUUUUUGUUAUCAAUUGAUUCAAUUUAAAAAGCCACGUCUUCACAAUCUCACCAGACACUUUAUUAGAUACACUUUGCCAGUAACAUAUAAAGCUCCACUUUGCCUUAAGUGCAGCCCGAGACUCGGUAAGGUGCUGGAAACAUUCCUCAAAGAUUUUGGUUGUUAGCAUCAAACAGUUGCUGUAGUUUUGUCAGCUGUACAUCCAUGAUUCAAAUCUCCCAUUCCACUACAUCCUGAACGUGCUCUAUUGGAUUGAGAUGUGGUGGCUAUGGCGGCCGUUUGAGUACAGUGAACUCAUUGUCAAGAUCUGAGCUUUGUGACAUGGCAAGUUGACCUGCUGGAAGUAGCCAUAAGAAGAUGGGCAGACGGUGGUCAUAAAGAUAUGGACAUGGUCAUUAACAAUACUUAGGUAGGCUGUGCUAUUUAGGCAAUGUUCAGUUGGUACUAAAGGGAAAAUCUCUCCAAUACGAUUACACAAGCAGCAGCCCAUUCUUCUCCAUUCUGGUCCUGGUUUGAACUCCAGAAGGUCAUCUCCCUACACGUCUAAAUUGCUGCCUUGUGAUUGGAUGAUUAGAUAUUUGCUUUAAUGAGCAGUUGGACGGAUGAACCUAAUGAAGUGAGAGUGUAUAUACCAAGCAGUAGCACAUUAUAAAUCUUAAAGGUUACUUUAUUAGAAAGUGGUGCUUCAUUUAACAUUUUUCUCUGAGCUUACUUUGCAUCACUUUUCAUUCUGCGCAUUCGCUUUUCAUGAGAGUUUUUAAGUCAUUCAGUUGCAUUACAUCUGCAAAAAAAGAGCCCUCUACCCUUUACCGAAAUUUUCAAAUCACUUAUUUUAAAGCUUCACCUUUUUCUUCCCACCAGUAACAUAUUUUUAUACAUAACUGUUGUGUAUUUCAUGCCUGUUUGUGUUUGCUUCAUGUUUGUGAAACAGAGCCUCAUGUUUUAAAAGAAAAGAUAAAGCCCAUUGCAACGAAGAAAGGUAUGCAGUCAGCUUGGAGAAACUAACAUAAAAUGUAGAACACGCAGUCACUAUUACUGAGUUGAAACCACUGUUCGAAUAAUUAGUGAACAGGGUGAAAAUAAUCCGCGACUAUCUUAAUAUUCAGAUGUUUCUCAAGCGAAAUAUUUUUACACAAAACUCACAAACAUUUUCCUUUUUUAAAGAGAAAACAUAACAUUUAAAUGAUACAUAUAAUAACACAUUUUUUAUGGCAAAUACAUUCAACUUAAACACUUGAGAAAAACUGUUUGACUGUUUUAUGUCUUGCUGCCUUUUACAGAGGACAGGGUUCUCAAAGAGAUACAAGAGCCUGCAAAGAAAGGUUUGUUUGUGACGCCCUUCAUUUCUGAGUAUUCAAAAAAAAACUACAUUAUAGCUUUUAUUGACUGUAUGCAAAACUUUUGCAGGAAAAACUGCUGAGAAGAAAGCUGAAAAGGAGGAGAAAGUUAAAGGUAUCACGUUGAUCCUGUAAUUUAGAGUCAUAUAACACUUUAUUGAUUUGUAGUUAACAUUAUGUUCACAUUUUAACAGUGGAGCCGUCUCUAUCGGACAGCUUUCUCCUGGAAGGUACGUGCAGAUUUUUAGAAAAAAAUGUUGCAGAGGGUGCAAAUU
ensembl:lncRNA